rnacentral:rRNA from 1 species
UGGGGAAUCUUGCGCAAUGGGCGGAAGCCUGACGCAGCAACGCCGCGUGAGCGAAGAAGGCCUUCGGGUUGUAAAGCUCUGUCAGGAGGGACGAAGCCACUCGGGUGAAUAGCCCAGAGGGUGACGGUACCUCCAGAGGAAGCCCCGGCUAACUACGUGCCAGCAGCCGCGGUAAUACGUAGGGGGCUAGCGUUGUCCGGAAUUAUUGGGCGUAAAGCGCGUGUAGGCGGCUUGUUAAGUCCGGUGUGAAACCUCGGUGGCUCAACCCCGAGCGUGCACUGGAAACUGGCUUGCUAGAGUCCGGAAGAGGAGAUUGGAAUUCCUGGUGUAGCGGUGAAAUGCGCAGAUAUCAGGAAGAACACCCGUGGCGAAGGCGGAUCUCUGGGACGGUACUGACGCUGAGACGCGAAAGCGUGGGGAGCAAACAGG